GUUCUAUGUAAGGUCCAGUCGGGAUUUGGAAGUUCUUGGGAGCAGCUGCAGCGUGGAUGGGCCGUGCCCUUGGAGAAGGCUGAGGACAUCAUUUGGGACCAGCUUUUCUCCCAGCGGAGGAUGGCGUGAGCCGGGCUCUGCGGGUGCUGAGGCUGCUCUGGGCCCUGCCAGGGCCCUGCUGGAGCUCAGCACCGGGCUGCAAUCAGCCAAAGGAGAAAUGGGGUGCCCUGCAGCACAGACUUGCUUGAGCAUUUCAGCAACACAGUUCAAGUUUGCAGAGUGUACACCUCCAAGGGAAAACAUGGCACCACCCAAGAAAUAAACUUGUUCAAUAA